rnacentral:rRNA from 1 species
AACGAAAUAAGUUGAGCUAUUUAAUUUCGUGGUUUAGUAAUUAUAUGUAGCAUAAUAUUAAUUGAAUAUUAAAUAGGGGUGAUAUGCCUUACACGUCUUAUGAUAUCUUGAUGUUUAUUAAAAGUAUCAGUACUAAGACAAUUUAUAAGUGACAAGGCUUAUAGAAUGUAUCAAAAUUUUUGAAAUUAGCGUGUUUAUUUAAUCAUAUGCAUCUUAAAAUAAAACUAUAUCUAUAAUAUGAUUUAUAUAUUGUAAUAAACUCUUGUAAUAAUUAUAAUUACAAUUUAUAAUGUUAUUAUUAGUAAUUAACAGACAUUUAUAAUGAACUUGGCAAAUUACUUUUCAACUGUUUAUCAAAAACAUAGCCAAUAGAGAUAUACUAUUGGUUAUUUCUGCUCAAUGAAUAUUAAAUAGCCGCAGUACUCUGACUGUGCAAAGGUAGCAUAAUCAUUUGGCUUAUAAUUGAAGUCUAGUAUGAAUGAAAUAAUGGAGAGUGACUGUCUCAUAUGUGUAAAUUUAACUUGCUUAUCAAGUGCAAAUACUUGUAAAAAAAUAAUAGACGAGAAGACCCUAGAAAUUUUAAGAACUUUAAUCAAUUCUUUUUGUUGGGGCAACAGUGUAACAGUAAAUUUACAUUUCGUUUGACAUGAAAUAUAAUAGACAGAAUAAAUUACUCUAGGGAUAACAGCGUAAUGUUUUAACGAUUGCGACCUCGAUGUUGGAUUAGGACGCGAAAACUUAGAA